rnacentral:rRNA from 1 species
AGUCAAUAGAUACCCCGGUAGUCCUAGCCGUAAACGGUGCGCAUUUGAGGUGGGAGGAUUCGACCCCUUCCGUCUUGUAGCUAAACGCGAUAAAUGCGCCGCCUGGGGAGUACGGUCGCAGGAUUAAAACUCAAAGAAAUUGACGGAGGCCCGCACAAGCGGUGGAGCAUGUGGCUUAAUUCGAUGCAACGCGAAGAACCUUACCUGGCCUUGACAUGUAUGUAGUAGAAGGAUGAAAGUCUGACGAGGUAGCAAUACCAGCAUACACAGGUGCUGCAUGGCUGUCGUCAGCUCGUGCCGUGAGGUGUUCGGUUAAGUCCGGUAACGAGCGCAACCCCGUAUGAUCUGUUGCCACCUGGAGUAAUCCAGAGCACUCUGAUCAGACUGCCC